rnacentral:rRNA from 1 species
AACAUGACUCUCGGCAACGGAUAUCUCGGCUCUCGCAUCGAUGAAGAACGUAGCAAAAUGCGAUACCUGGUGUGAAUUGCAGAAUCCCGUGAACCAUCGAGUUUUUGAACGCAAGUUGCGCCCGAGGCCUUCUGGUUGAGGGCACGUCUGCCUGGGCGUCACGU